UCGGGAAUAUUGGUCAAUGGACGCAAGUCUGAACCAGCCAUGCCGCGUGAAGGAUGAAGGUCCUCUGGAUUGUAAACUUCUUUUAUCUGGGACGAAAACGGGAUUUUUAUCUCAAUUGACGGUACCAGAGGAAGAAGCACCGGCUAACUCCGUGCCAGCAGCCGCGGUAAUACGGAGGGUGCGAGCGUUAUCCGGAUUUACUGGGUUUAAAGGGUGCGUAGGUGGGCUUAUAAGUCAGUGGUGAAAUCUCCGAGCUUAACUUGGAAACUGCCGUUGAUACUAUAGGUCUUGAAUUAUCUGGAGGUAAGCGGAAUAUGUCAUGUAGCGGUGAAAUGCUUAGAUAUGACAUAGAACACCAAUUGCGAAGGCAGCUUACUACAUAUAAAUUGACGCUGAGGCACGAAAGCGUGGGGAUCAAACA
rnacentral:rRNA from 1 species